rnacentral:rRNA from 1 species
GACGUAGGGGGCGAGCGUUGUCCGGAUUUAUUGGGCGUAAAGAGCUCGUAGGCGGCUCAGCAAGUCAGGUGUGAAACCUCCAGGCUUAACCUGGAGACGCCACCUGAUACUGCUGUGGCUGGAGUCCGGUAGGGGAGCAGGGAAUAUCCGGUGUAGCGGUGAAAUGCUUAGAUAUCGGGUGGAACACCAGUGGCGAAAGCGCUCUGCUAGGCCGCAACUGACACUGAGGGACGAAAGCUAGGGGAGCGAAUGGG